rnacentral:rRNA from 1 species
AUGGAUUUGGAUCUGUGGAUCUCCAAGGUCAAGGAGGGCCAGCACCUCGCCGAGCACGAGCUCCAGACCCUCUGCGAAUACGUUAAGGAGAUUCUCAUCGAGGAGUCGAACGUGCAGCCAGUCAACAGCCCGGUCACAGUGUGCGGCGACAUCCAUGGGCAGUUCCAUGACCUUAUGAAGCUCUUUGCCACCGGAGGACAUGUGCCUGAGACCAACUAUAUUUUCAUGGGUGAUUUUGUCGACCGCGGCUUCAACAGUCUCGAGGUUUUCACCAUCCUUUUGCUACUAAAAGCAAGGUAUCCUGCCCACAUAACCCUUCUGCGUGGGAACCAUGAAAGUAGGCAGCUGACACAGGUAUAUGGCUUCUAUGACGAGUGCCAGAGGAAGUAUGGGAAUGCCAAUGCGUGGCGGUAUUGCACCGAUGUUUUUGAUUACCUUACUCUUUCAGCAAUCAUUAAUGGCACGGUCCUUUGUGUUCACGGUGGCCUGUCUCCUGAUGUACGUACUGUUGACCAGAUACGGACAAUUGAUCGGAAUUGUGAAAUUCCCCACGAAGGUCCUUUCUGUGAUCUUAUGUGGAGUGACCCUGAAGAGAUAGAGACAUGGGCUGUUAGUCCGCGUGGAGCAGGUUGGCUUUUUGGAUCACGAGUGACAACAGAGUUCAACCAUGUGAACAAUCUUGACCUAGUUUGCCGGGCUCACCAGCUGGUCCAGGAAGGCUUAAAGUACAUGUUUCAGGACAAGGGUCUUGUAACUGUGUGGUCUGCACCUAAUUAUUGCUACAGAUGUGGCAAUGUUGCUUCUAUACUAAGCUUCGACGAGAACAUGGACCGCGACGUCAAGUUCUUCACGGAGACGGAGGAGAACAACCAGAUGCGUGGCCCAAGGACUGCCGUCCCGUAUUUUCUCUGA